UACAGAGGGUGCGAGCGUUGUUCGGAUUCAUUGGGCGUAAAGGGUGCGUAGGCGGCGGAGUAAGUCGGAUGUGAAAUCCCGGGGCUCAACCCCGGAACUGCAUUCGAUACUGCCUUGCUAGAGUACUGGAGAGGAGACUGGAAUUUACGGUGUAGCAGUGAAAUGCGUAGAUAUCGUAAGGAAGACCAGUGGCGAAGGCGAGUCUCUGGACAGUUACUGACGCUGAGGCACGAAGGCCAGGGGAGCAAACGGG
rnacentral:rRNA from 1 species